UCGGCUUAGAGUUUGAUCAUGGCUCAGGACGAACGCUGGCGGCGUGCCUAAUACAUGCAAGUCGAACGCUGGAGCUUGCUCCAGAGUGGCGAACGGGUGAGUAACACGUGGAUAACCUACCCUCAAGCGGGGGAUAACACUUGGAGACAGGUGCUAAUACCGCAUAACAAAGAAACCGCAUGGUUUUCUUUGAAAGGCGUUUUCGUCACUUGAGGAUGGAUCCGCGGUGCAUUAGCUAGUUGGUGAGGUAACGGCUCACCAAGGCAACGAUGCAUAGCCGACCUGAGAGGGUGAUCGGCCACAUUGGGACUGAGACACGGCCCAAACUCCUACGGGAGGCAGCAGUAGGGAAUCUUCGGCAAUGGACGAAAGUCUGACCGAGCAACGCCGCGUGAGUGAAGAAGGUUUUCGGAUCGUAAAACUCUGUUGUUAGAGAAGAACAAGGAUGAGUAAAUUCAUCCCUUGACGGUAUCUAACCAGAAAGCCACGGCUAACUACGUGCCAGCAGCCGCGGUAAUACGUAGGUGGCAAGCGUUGUCCGGAUUUAUUGGGCGUAAAGCGAGCGCAGGCGGUUUCUUAAGUCUGAUGUGAAAGCCCCCGGCUCAACCGGGGAGGGUCAUUGGAAACUGGGAAACUUGAGUGCAGAAGAGGAGAGUGGAAUUCCAUGUGUAGCGGUGAAAUGCGUAGAUAUAUGGAGGAACACCAGUGGCGAAGGCGGCUCUCUGGUCUGUAACUGACGCUGAGGCUCGAAAGCGGGGGGAG
rnacentral:rRNA from 1 species